rnacentral:tRNA from 1 species
GGUGCUAUGGCGGAGUGGUGACGCAGCGGUCUGCAAAACCGCGUACGCCGGUUCAAUUCCGGCUGGCACCUCCA